ACUGUUAGAUAUCGCUGUAGAUUUAGCAGCACUGUACUGUAAAAAUCCACAGUACUAUACUGUAUGUGUACAUUACAGUAAAGUACUGCAGUUCAUAGUGCAUUCUGGGUAAAUUUGUUUGAGCGGGAAAAUUUUACAGUAUAUUUUGGUCUUGAUGUAACCUUGCUGUAGCCAUUGCUGUAAUGUGCCAGGUGUACUUGCAAUAAUCAGAGAAAGUGCGCACGAGUCAAAUCACACAGAGGGAGAGAGAGCACAACUCCUGGCUGCAGCUGAAGAAGGAGGACGAUUGAUUUCUGGCAGUUCGCUCUAACGUUACAGUUUGCUCCACUUUGCUCUGUGGUUUAUAUGUUUUCUUCUUACCAUUGCUUGUAAGCUGGAUUGAGUAAGAUGGAUCAUCUUUAAAGGAACCAGGAGUUAAGGCAGAUGUGGAGGCACAACGGGUGACACCAGACACACACCAAGCACAUUGUUCGGACAUUCAAUCAUGACAUGAUCCAUGUGGAUGCUGUCCAUUGAGGAAAGAGUUUGUUCAGAGGUUUCUGGACAGAAUUAAUCCCAAAGAUGGGAAAAAGUGCACAUCCAGACAAGGAGCAAGCAAAAAGACAAGGAACUUGGUGCAGAGAAAAGCUGUGGCCAUUAACCCCCAUGUGAACAGCUUCAUGCAGUCCCUGAUAGAGUUUGAAUGGGCGACUUCAAACUAAAGGCCAGUGUCAGUCUGCCACAGUUUAAUGCAUUUAUUUUUAGUGUUCAAUAAAAUUCAAAUAGAAUAUUUAAAACUAUGGGCCAGUGUUCCUUUUACCACAGUUAAAUGUUACCUUUUAGUUGAUGAUGGACUUAAAACUUCAAACUAUGGAACAGUGUUCUUUUUACCACAGUGAAAUGUUACCUUUUAGUCGAUGAUGGACUUUAAACUGAAAACUUCAAACUAUGGACCAGUGUUCUAUUUGCCAGAGUUAAAUAUAUUACAGCAGGGGCCUCAAAACUUGUUUAUACUUUAUAAUAUUUUAUUUUAUUUUACUUGUUUAUUAUUGUUUAUCUUGUUUUAAAUGAUUGUUUCAAUUACAUGUUUUUUUAAUAAAAUUUUUGAUAUAAACAUUGCUUGGAUUGCCUUUUAAUUCAUAAUGUCAU